CACCUCCUCCUGUGUGUGAGUGUGUGCACGCACACUCACUCACAUAUACACACACAAAAGGUCCUUGCUCUUCUCUAGUCUAUACAAAUAAUGACUUGGGUAUAAUAAAAAGCACAACUGGAAUUUCUUUUAAAUGCCUGUGUCAGAAUGAUAAUGUGAGCCAAUGUGAAGAUGGCAUUUCAUUAAUUGCGUUGUCAAUGACAAAUGUGAAAAGUAUGAACGUGCCAGUUUCAUAAUUCUCUCAAAAGCAGUUUGUUAUGCACCUUUGAUAAGUUACAUUUCCACCAAGGAGGUAGUGAGAUCUGAGAAAUAAGCCCACCAUCUCCCACUUGCAUAGUGAUCAUGCAUUUCUAUGGAUCUGAGGGAGGCACAGUAUUCAGGAGACUCUUAGGACACUGGUAUAGACUUUAACUCACCACUUUCCCAAGCAGCCAUGUGUCAACAUGUCUUAAGUAGAUCACCAAUAGAGCCUGAGCACUGUGAACCUGAAACACAGUAAGAAAUCAGUUGAUUCAACUGCACUAUGUGCUCUGUGGAAAAGAUAAAUCAUAUGGUACAACUUGCAUUUAAAGUAAGGAAUCAUACCUUGCCAUUUUUCAAAAUAUCUCCUUCAUGGUGUCUAUUUGAAGCCACUGGCUUCAGAGCUCUAAUGAAAAUGUAAACAGUGGUCUGCCCUGUGCUGCUAACCUUAGGACAAUUGUUUCCAGGAUUUUCUGCCUGUUCAGAGCACUGUAGGACUAAGAAGAGUAGCCCACUUGCCUUUUAUUGGUCAGAUUGCCCAUAUUUUACCAGGAAGACAGAUAUAUAUUUUUUUUAAAGAUAAUAUAGUGAAUAAUUGUUUUGAAUGCAAAUACAUCUAUGAAGCACACUUGAGACUGUAAUGUGCUGAAGGACAACAGUAGAAAGGAAAUCUUAUUCAUAUCCACUUUUUUUCUUUAAAAAGUUUUUACAAAAUGUUCAAUAUACUGAUUGCCCAUCAAAGAAAUCCUGCAGGAGAGAGAACACUAGGUCCAAUUACAAAAAACUUGGAAUUCAGAUUCCAAUGGUAUCAUACUAAAUGCCAAAUGCUAAGACAAUAUUUUAAGAGAAUGUACUACAUUAACUGAAGUUGUUUCCACCCUCUUUUUAUAGAAAUCCUAGGCUAUCUCAAAAUUUGUCUGGUAGGUAUGUGCUUUCUAUUUGUAAAAUAGCUGAGUGUAAUAGAGAGGUUAAUGAUGAAUUGCUCUGCCAGACCCACAAGCCUCAGGAAUGAAUGGCUUGCAGGGAGGGGUGAACAGUAGUCAAGAAGCUGUAAGGAACAUUUUGCACUUGCUGAUCAUCUUUAAUGAAUGUCUUUUACCCCUUCUCCCAUUCAAAACCAAGGGCACUAUUUCAAAUUCUCGAGUUCCACUAAAUAGCACACAGAAGGAAAGGAAAAAACCUGAGACCAAAAGUCAGCAUCCUUCAUCAUUUUCCCUGGCAGUUCUCUUUAUCUGAAAAGCUACUCAAACUGUUUAACACAGCUGCUUGCUGUGGAAAUAAUACUUAGAGUGGAAAUAUUACUUAUUUCUUUGCUAUGUAAACUUAAAUGCUCAUUGAAAUUACCCAUAAAGAAAAUUUGUCUAUGGCUAAAGGAAACAGUCUUUAAUUUAUGGACUGGGUAUUUGCAAAUGAACGUAUAUCUGAGACAUCAAGACUAACAUUUCCCUGAUGUAUGACGCUGUGCAUUGCAGUGCUUCAAUAUCAGAAGUAUACAAAACCCACUUAGUGGGUACCUCAGCAGCAAGUCUGUGGUUGCAAAUGCUACAUUUGUCGAUCCUUCCAAUCAACUUUUCAUAUUUAGCAUCUGGAACUGCAUCAGCUUCAUCUGGCUCUUCCAGCAGCGACCCAGCAAUGUGAAUGCAGUAGUCUUCUUGAAAACCAUCAUCUGUCAAAUGGUGGUGAAGACACAGACUGUGAGGAACAGCAGAGACAUAUCAUGCUAGCUUCGUACUCCUGAAUGAUUGUGGAAGCAGCACUAAAGCAACAUACAGAAAAAGAUAAAAAAUGGACUCCUAACAUAAUAACCAUAAUAACCAACAUAAUAAGCCUUGGAUUUUUGAGCAUCUGUGACUAUGUUUACCUCACAGGAGAGACAGACUCCACAGCAUCACCACCGCACAUCUUGAUUCCCAGUAACCUCGAUUAUGGGACUUCCUGGAAAAUGCUGCAACUCCCUCCCAUGCCUAACUUUCCAGGAGAGAUGUGUAUCUGGGUCUUCUCCUGACUGAAGAUGGAGAUGGUGGUAAGUGGUACAUCUGAAGCCAAAGAGUGGGAAUCACGCCCAGGCUCCCCUGGUAGAAACACAGCUUGGCAGACUGUUGACGGCAAUUUUUUCAUCUGUUUGAGAAGAAACUUCUACAAGUAACACGGGCUUAAGGAUUUGCUCCCAUUACUUAUCAAGAAGCACGUGUUUUCAUAACAAUUCAGUUAUGUUUCUGUUGUGCACAUCUCUGUGUAUCUCGGCUUUCCCAAACACAGGCAGGAAGACUAACAAGAUGUUCUUUUGAGUGGUGACGCUGUAAUUUGAACUUGAGAAAUGAAUACUGCUUUUCCCAGGAACACUGGAAGAAAAGCCCUUACAUCCUGUCUAUUACAUAUUAAAUAGUAAGGGAGGAAAGUGCUGAAUAACUUUGAGGGUUGUUGCCUCUGCCACUGCCACCUUUAACUGACUGGUUUCAGUCCUGUUGCCGUUGCUCUCCAUUUCCUCAGCUUGUAGCUCCAUAACACAGCUCCUCUGGCAGUGGUCACUCUGGCUCCCCAUUUCUCGAGCAAACAAAAACUUGCCUUGGCUUUGCAGGUGAGCUAUCAGCAUUCCUUCUCAAUCCAACAUGAGGGCUGGCUUCCUUCCCCAGUCCCUCAAGGACCAAGUGCCAUGCCCAAAUCUAUUUCAGAGCCUUCUUCCAGCGUGUUCUUCAAUUCAAAUAAAAGCCAGCACUGAAUUUUUCUUCGUGAUCUUCCUCACGACAGGAGAGGCCAACUUCACUCAGCCAACAGCAGGAACCUUUCCUCAGCCCUAUCCUCCUCUGAGAUAUAUUUAAGCAACCAGCCAGCUGCUUUGAACAACUGCAUGUUAAAAGCAAAGCAAGUACUUUAAAUUCUAUGUUAAGCCUAUAGAAGUAAUUAGAGAAGUACAAUCAACAUAAAAAGCCACAAUGAAGAUGACUGUUUGCAUAUGUGCUAGAGAAAGCAAAAUCAAAAUCAUAGCUAUUCUAGCACAGAAUUUAUAAGAGAGAUACAGAAACAAACCAAACAAGCAGUACGAGACUGGCCUUAGAGCUAAAAAUCGGAACUUUUUUUUUCUUUAAACCAAACAUUUUAUAACCAACUCUUAUUUGGGACUAGCUUUGUUAGAUUCACAACAAUUUAAGAACAAAGGUGCAAUGGCCUGAGGCUGGAACAGCCUGAUUUUUCUUCAACAGUUUCUUUUUCAUACUGCAUUUAGUCAAAAGAUUGCAAGUCCACUGCAAAAAAAUAAAUAAAUAAAUUUCAGCUUCAGUUGUUCACAGCACAAACUAUGCUGACCUUUUCCAGACAAUUACAUAAAACAGCAAUGAUAAGCAGUAGGGAUCCCUAUUAAAAUACAACCCACGGCUUUUGUAUGUGUGCAUGCCUUCUUUUUGGCCCACAGUUACUGGCCACGCCAAAAAUGAUUUUAUGAAGAAAAACAACAGAUAUGAUAAAUUCCAACAGAAAUCAGCCUCCAAAUAUGAACAGCAAGGAUAGCCACAGCUGAAUCCAGCAUUUGCUUAAUUCACCAGGGAUGAUCUGAGACAUCUUUUAUCCUUUAUACACAACUCAAACUAGGCAUGCUAGUAAAACCCCAUUAAUCUGUUUCAUGAGUCAUAGGCUUCUUUGUUCUCUGCACUUUGCUGACGGUUUCCUUUAUCUGAGGGUGGAGAAUGUGCUUUGUAUAAAGUUUCAACUUGUGUGUAAGUUCUCUUUGGCACACUGCAUGUGCCCAACACAAGAGACUGUUUUUUUCUUUACCACAUAUUGCUACAGCUGAAAUCAGCUGAAAAUCUCGAGCAGGAAAUCCCUUAACGUGAACUACAGAGUUGCAGUUGGGUAGUGUCUACAGACAGCCUGGAUUACAGCUUCCCAGAGAUCUUAUUGCCCACGUACUGUGCCCACUGUAGAUCCUGUUCCUCUUUUUUCAGUCUUUGCAAAUAAAUGGAAAUAACUGAGCAGGCCUUGGUUGUUUGGUUUCCAACAUACAGGCCAGACAGUUGUAUUUUAACAAAACAAGUAACUAAAUCUAGCAUCCAAUGUUUGCUUGUUGGAUCAGCAGUACAGCGAGCACAUUGGAGAAAUAUGUUAUGAUGGGAUUUUGUUAGCAGAAAGCACCUUUCUAUGGAAAAGGGAUGACAACCCCUUCUACAGAGUUUGAAGGAGGUAAGAUUUCAUUUCACCACUACUCCUCUUGACUUCACCAAGAGCAGGCAUUCCUGAGACAUUCCCCAAAGAGUGUAUGAGGAAAUUACUGACUUUUUUUCUUGAAAACAGACUUGAAGACAUAAUCAGUAAUGCAUGCAUGGCCUCAAAAAAAUGCAUCUGCCUCUCCUUGCCAAAAAAAAAAAGUCCUACUUCAGCUUCUGAAAGAACAUACUUGUGACAAUGUAGAGUUAAUGAUUUUCUUCCACUCUUCCAUUGUAUACUAAGGAAUGUUUCUGAGCUCUUAAAUAGCUCCGCCCAAAAUUAAUGCUGCCGAGUAAAUCAAGGGUCUACAAGCCCGAUGCCUGAGAAUUUGAUCAAGUGAUCAAGUGUUGAUUUUCAGCUUCCCAUGGUGGGAAGGAUUUAAAGUUAAACUUUUAGUUUUCUGAUCUUAAGUGGCACUAGCUCAAUCACUGACUUUAUACAUAUAUAGCUCAAGUUAGUUGUGUGCAUAAGUUUCACUUUUUAUACUUGUAUGUAUGAUACUGCAAGUCAUGCGACUAUCUUCAAGAGUUGUAUAAAAAGUUAAAGGAAGUUAUAUAAAUUAUUAUUUGUAAAUAAAGAUGAAGAGGCAUGUGCAAGAACAGCAAAAACAUGACAUUC